UAUUGAAAACGUCGGUCUCACGGUAUACUAUGGAGGCCAGAAUACUGCUACUAGCAGCCCUUGUGGCAGGAGUUCUCGCAGGACCAAUAAAUGUUCGUUAUGAAAGCGAUAAUAAUAUGUGUGCACAAAGAUGCACAGAAUCAUCCAAAUUUAGAUAUCGACCUGGAACGACUUACGAAUUUGACUACAAUGUCCAGACACAUACUGCUAUGGAAGGCGCAUCCGAUGAAAAGGCUACCCUUGGAAUCAAGGCCACGGCUGAAGUUGAGGCUAUGUCAAAAUGUGAAUU